AUAGAUUCGCAUGCCUUUUCUAAAGAAGAAUCAGAGGAGAUUUUUUUGAAGGUUGUGUGGUGUAACUUUGCAGAAGUCAUCUGCUUCAUUUUCAUUCCCUGUCUGCUCCUCCACAAUAGAAAUGCACACCAUGAACUGAGAAGUUCUCCGGGACACACGGCGUCAUGGAAAAAUGGAGCUGAGGGUUGGGGUCUCCUCUGAGCUUUUCACUACUGAAGCAUCCAGCCAAAGCCAGCAAUUACCCAGCAGUCCCUGCACCCCCAGUGCCAGCAAGCCUCAUCUUCACCAAUUAGCGUAGAGGGUGAUCUUCUACGUGCUGUUUUGAUCAAACAGUGAGAUGCUGCAGAGGCUGCAAAAUGUGUCUGAGGAGCUGCUAAUGAAAGAAUACAAGACACUAUUAAUUCUUGAUAAUGUUAAUCAGCAAAUCGGCGAGUGCUCUCUGUCUUUUUCUCUCUCUCUCACUCAGCAGUGCCACAGGAGUCCCACAGGCGUCCACGCCUCAGCAGGAGUUACGAAAACACUGGAGACGCACUAAUGACUGCAAAGCUACACACCCGUCCCGCGUUAUGAACCGGGCACAAUUGCUGAGGCAGCAGCAGUGGGGAAAAAACAAAUUGGCACAAUCACACUGCAGAUGCUGUUGAUGUGACAAUCAAGCAUGAGGGCGAGGGCGCUGCUGUCGAUCGACGCUCCACUUGGACGCAAGAUCCAAUUUUGGUGGCUGCAUCAUCUCUGCUGGAGUUACAAUAGCGGCAGAGCUCGUCGAUGGCUUCAACGCCGGUGGAGCGGUUGCCCUUUCUGUGUGGAUGCUUCCCUCAGCUGAAGGUAACAAGGUAUGACUCAAGUGAAAGUACAAGAGCUACAGGGAUCAAAGAUCUCCAACAAGUCUGGCCCGAUGAAAGGUCAGGGCUGUUCAAUCAGAGUGAACAGCGAACUGAGCCUCAACAUCACAGACGUGUUUGAGGGGGAGAUUUCAAAGAGAAUUUCCUUUGCCUCUUAAAUCUGCUUUUGAGGACACUUUCAUAAAAAAAUGAACGCACUUUUGUAGCACACAAAUGAUCAACAAACCUCUGACCUUUGCAUCACUUAUUAAAGGUACAGUGCAUCAAAUGUUGCCACAUUUGUUGGUGAAGUUCCCAGUAUGGACUUUUUCAUGUCCAAUACCGAUAUCUCAAACUCGAGUAUCUGUCGAUACCAAUAUCAGUCUGAUACAGUCAUUUAAGCUGUUAACAACACAUUUGUGCCAUUUGUAGAACAAAUAUUCUUCUCCCGUUAAGCAGAAAUAAACAGCCCAAAAGAUGACUCAGCUAAAAUGCUAUAUAAUGCUGCUUUUUAUUUACCUUUUUACAGUUACACAGUGGACUGUGCGAUGUAUGGAGGAUUUUUAGAUUGUAUACGAUUUUAAAUCUUUAUCUCUCCAAUAUGUGAUCCAGUGAUUUUGACCAGUAUCCGACCAAUAUCAUAUCAGCUCCUCCCUUGUUCCGAGUGUGUUGGAGAAACUAUGCAGCCUUCAGUUAUAUAAUAUAUAUAUAAUAUAUUAAAAUAAUUGUCCUAGAUUUUACACACUGGACCUUUAAAAUUGAGAGGUGUUUUUUGUGAAGUUUCAGAAGUUUCACAGCUCUUUCUCUGGUGUUGACGAUGGCUCUUGCAGCACUGGGGGAGAGAGUUAACAAACCGCUGAUGUAAACUGACACACACACACACACUUCUCUGCCCCACACUCCUCUAACUUUUCCUUGCUAAUCCCUAGAAAAUCCUUCAGAGAGUCAACGUGGGGCCAUUUUGGACAGCUUCUCCCCAUAGGUGUCAUUUGCAUUAAUUGGUGAAAUGCACAGGGGAAGUGUGGCUGAACACAGACAGCAUUAUUCACAGAAACACUGCUAGAAGGAAUUCUAAAUGAAGAGCAUUUCCCUUCUGUGAUUCGGGAAUAUUGUCACACUUUACAGUCAUUUUCAUUAAAUCAAAAAAAAAAAAAAAGAGUCACAACUGACAUUUAACAUGAGGAAUUAGCUGAAAGUGACCAUGCCUGCAAAUUGCCUAUGUUAUGUGCUGAAUCAGCUCAGAGUGAGUGGAGCAGCACUGAUUUCCCAACUGUCUGUGUGUCUGUGUGUGUGCGUGUGUGUGUGUGUGUACACUUGCAUUGACUCUUAAGAACCUUUCUGACAUAUACACUGACCUUGUUUGGUCCAGUCAUCCUCAGGGAGACCAAAAACCUGGUUUCUGAUGAGGCAGAACCUCUUUUAUGAGAAGUUAGUUACGCUUAGGGUUAGGCAUUAGUGAGGGAUGAGGCUUUGUUUAGGCUGUCCAAAUGAAUGGGAGGCAGUGCAGGGUCCUUAAAGGAUAGCUGCGUGAAACUGAGUGUGUGUGUGUGUGUGUUACCUCUUUAUGACCUUUUCUGGUAUAGACACUGCCCUUGUCAGGAGCAGUAAUCCUCAUCUGUGGCUCUGGUUUCGGUUAAAUCUAAGAUGUUAGCUGCUGAGUCCUGACUGAAUGUUACCUU